rnacentral:rRNA from 1 species
AUUGAACGCUGGCGGCAUGCCUUACACAUGCAAGUCGAACGGCAGCACGGGAGCAAUCCUGGUGGCGAGUGGCGAACGGGUGAGUAAAGUAUCGGAACGUGCCCAGUCGUGGGGGGUAACGCAGCGAAAGCUGCGCUAAUACCGCAUACGAUCUGAGGAUGAAAGCGGGGGACCGUAAGGCCUCGCGCGAUCGGAGCGGCCGAUGUCAGAUUAGGUAGUUGGUGGGGUAAAGGCUCACCAAGCCAACGAUCUGUAGCUGGUCUGAGAGGACGACCAGCCACACUGGGACUGAGACACGGCCCAGACUCCUACGGGAGGCAGCAGUGGGGAAUUUUGGACAAUGGGCGAAAGCCUGAUCCAGCAAUGCCGCGUGCAGGAAGAAGGCCUUCGGGUUGUAAACUGCUUUUGUAUGGAGCGAAAAGGCUCUCUCUAAUACAGGGGGCUCAUGACGGCACCGUAAGAAUAAGCACCGGCUAACUACGUGCCAGCCGCCGCCGUAA